rnacentral:rRNA from 1 species
AUUGAACGCUGGCGGCAGGCCUAACACAUGCAAGUCGAGCGGAUGAAGGGAGCUUGCUCCUGGAUUCAGCGGCGGACGGGUGAGUAAUGCCUAGGAAUCUGCCUGGUAGUGGGGGAUAACGUCCGUAAACGGGCGCUAAUACCGCAUACGUCCUGAGGGAGAAAGUGGGGGAUCUUCGGACCUCACGCUAUCAGAUGAGCCUAGGUCGGAUUAGCUAGUUGGUGGGGUAAAGGCCUACCAAGGCGACGAUCCGUAACUGGUCUGAGAGGAUGAUCAGUCACACUGGAACUGAGACACGGUCCAGACUCCGACGGGGGGCAGCAGUGGGGACUAUUGGACAAUGGGCGAAAGCCUGAUCCAGCCAUGCCGGGUGUGUGAAGAAGGUCUUCGGAUUGUAAAGCACUUUAAGUUGGGAGGACGGGAAGUAAGUUAAUACCUUGCUGUUUUGACGUUACCAACAGAAUAAGCACCGGCUAACUUCGUG